rnacentral:lncRNA from 10 species
GUGAAAUGAAUGACAGCAAUAUUAUAAGUCAUCCGGUUCCAAGAUGGCCGAAUAGGAACAGCUCCAGUUUACAGCUCCCAGUGUGAGUGACGCAGAAGACAGUUGAUUUCUGCAUUUCCAACUGACGUACCAGGUUCAUCUCACUGGGGCUUGUUGGACAGUGGGUGCAGCCCAUGGAGUGUAAGCCGAAGCAGGACGAGGCAUCACCUCACCUGGGAAGUGCAAGAGGUCAGGGAAUUCCCUUUCCUAGCCAAGGGAAGCGUGACAGAUGGUACCUGGAAAAUUGGGACACUCCCACCCUAAUACUGUGCUUUUCCAACUGUCUUAGCAAACGGCACACCAGGAGAUUAUAUCCCGUGCCUGGCUUGGAGGGUCCCACAUCCACGGAGCCUUGCUCACUGCUAGCACAGUAGUCUGAGAUCAAACUGCAAGGCAGCAGUGAGGCUGGGGGAGGGGCAUCCACCAUUGCUGAGGCUUGAGUAGGUAAACAAAGCGGCUGGGAAGCUCGAACUGGGUGGAGCCCACCACAGCUCAAGGAGGCCUGCCUGCUUCCGUAGACUCCACCUCUAGGGGCAGGGCAUAGCAGAACAAAAGGCAACAGAAACUUCUGCAGACUUAAACAUCCCUGACAGCUUUGAAGAGAGUAGUGGUUCUCCCAGUACAGAGUUUCAGAUCUGAGAACAGACAGGCUGCCUCCUUAAAUGGGUCCCUGACCCCCAAGUAGCCUAACUGAGAGACACCUCCCAGUAGGGGCUGACUGAUACCUCAUACAGCUGGGUGCCCCUCUGAGACGAAGCUUCCAGAGGAAGGAUCAGGCAGCAACAUUUGCCGUUCUGCAAUAUUUGCUGUUUUGCAGCCUCCACUGGUGAUACCCAAGCAAACAGGGUCUGGAGUGGACUUCCAGCAAACUCCAACAGACCUGCAGCUGAGGAUCCUGACUGUUAGAAGGAAAACUAACAAAGAGAAAGGACAUCCACACCAAAACCCCAUCUGUACGUCACCAUCAUCAAAGACCAAAGGUAGAUGAAACCACAAAGAUGGGGAGAAACCAGAGCAGAAAAACUGAAAAUUCUAAAAAUCAGAGCACCUCUUCUCCUCCAAAGGAAUGCAGCUCCCUGCCAGCAAUGGAACAAAGCUGGACGGAGAAUGACUUUGACGAGCUGACAGAAGUAGGCUUCAGAUGAUCGCUAAUAACAAACUUCUCUGAGCUAAAGGAUGAGGUUCAAACCCAUCGCAAAGAAGCUAAAAACCUUGAAAAAAGAUUAGAUGAGUGGCUAACUAGAAUAAACAGCAUAGAGAAGACCUUAAAUGACCUGAUGGAGCUGAAACCAUGGCACAAGAACUACGUCACACAUGCACAAGCUUCAGUAGCCGAUUUGAUCAAGUGGAAGAAAGGGUAUCAGUGAUUCAAGAUCAAAUGAAUGAAAUGAAGCAAGAAGAGAAGUUUAG